rnacentral:rRNA from 1 species
UACGGAGGGGGCUAGCGUUGUUCGGAAUUACUGGGCGUAAAGCGCACGUAGGCGGCUUUGUAAGUUAGAGGUGAAAGCCCGGAGCUCAACUCCGGAAUUGCCUUUAAGACUGCAUCGCUAGAAUUGUGGAGAGGUGAGUGGAAUUCCGAGUGUAGAGGUGAAAUUCGUAGAUAUCAGGAGGAACACCUAUUGCGAAAGGCAGCUCGCUGGGACGUAACUGACGCUGAGACGCGAAAGCGUGGGGAGCAAACAGG